CGCAUUACAUGGAUGCCUCGACUCUGUACUCCGAAGAAGGACGUGGCCAGCUGCGAUAAGCCUCGGUAAGCCGCUAGGCAGGCGCUAUAGCCGGGGAUUUCCGAAUGAGGAAACUCCAUCUCCGUUAUGGGAGAUGACCCUGAACCGUAAGGUACAGGGAGGUUACUCUGACAACUGAAACAUCUCAGUAGCAGAGGAAAAGAAAUCAAUAGAGAUUCCCAAAGUAGUGGCGAGCGAAAUGGGAACAGGCCAAACCCCACUGUUUUAUUGGUGGGGGGUUGUAGGGCCCCAAUAUCCGAUUGUUUCUGCAUAGACGAACGACCCUGGAACGGGCGGCCAAAGUGGGUGAGAGCCCCGUAGCCGAAAUGUAGAAAAAGCGAGUCUUAAAUAAGGCGUACAUAGUCGCUGGCACUAGACCCGAAACCGGGUGAGCUACCCAUGGGCAGGGUGAAGGGCGUCGGAAGACGUCUGGAGGCCCGAACCAUUAAGUGUCACAAGACUUAGGGAUGACCUGUGGGUAGGGGUGAAAAGCCUAUCGAACCCGGAGAUAGCUGGUUCUCCUCGAAAUGCCUUUAGGGGCAGCCUCGUCUCGCAAGAUGGGGGGUAGAGCUACUGUUUGGAUGCGGGGGUCACCUCGACCUGCCAAAUCCUGGCAAACUCCGAAUACCCAUCCUUAGGAGACGGGAGUGAGACGGUGACGGCAAAGCGCCAUCGUCGAAAGGGAAAGAGCCCAGAUCAUUUGCUAAGGUCCCAAAUGUCCGUUCAGUGUAGAAGGAGGUGUAGAUGCAUGGACAACCAGGAGGUUGGCUUAGAAGCAGCCAUCCUUUAAAGAAAGCGUAACAGCUCACUGGUCUAUUGCAUUUAUGCGCCGAAAAUUCAACGGGGCAAAACGGACAACCGAAGCAGUGAAUGUGUGGGGUCACUUUUGGAUUCUGUGGAGCUGGGAUUUAUUAAUCGGCGUGGGGUUAGUCGGGCCUAAGGUGAGGCCGAAAGGCGUAACCGAUGGACAACAGGUAAAUAUUCCUGUACCUCAUGAAAAUCGCCCAAGAGUACCACCCAAGAGUCUUAAGAGCCUCUGUAUCCCACUUCGGUGGGGUGCAUGUUCUCCAGAAAGGCGAGUGGUACGCUAGAAGCGGCGUAACGGAGCGGGAGCACCAGAGCGUGUGUAUUGACUGCACGUGGAACACGUGAAGCGUUGAUCCUGACAGGCAAAUCCGUCAGGAGAGCUGAGCGUGGAUCCCAAAUGUCCGCCUUUGGCGGAUAAGUCUGGCUGGUUCUGUUUCCAAGAAAACCGUCGCUUCGAGAGUUUUGUGAGACCGUACCGCAAACCAACACCGGUGGGGUGGUCGAGUAGACCAAGGCGAACGAGUAAUUCCGCGUUAAGGAACUCGGCAAAACAGCGUCCGUAACUUCGGGAUAAGGACUGACCCUGUACCUUCUGGUACAGGGCCCGCAGCAAAAGAGCUCAGGCGACUGUUUACCAAAAACACAGGUCCCUGCAAAGUCGCAAGACAACGUAUAGGGGCUGAUGCCUGCCCAGUGUCAGAAGGUCACGUGAGAGGGUGUAUGCCCUUGAUCUAAGCCCUGAUGAACGGCGGCCGUAACUAUAACGGUCCUAAGGUAGCGAAAUUCCUUGUCGGGUGGUCGAUAAGCAACUUGCCCGAAUCCCGCGUAAGCGGGAGCACUGGGGAAUUCCGUGAAUGGCAUAUUCAGUGCAAAACGUGGCUAUAUGCUGGAACAUCCGGGUAUGGAGCACUACGUACUAAUUAAAAUGGAAAAUUAGUAUGUGAGAAUGUGACUUCUGCGGACAAUCAGCAGGAAACCUUAAGUAAGAGGGAUGAGCACUGUCUCGACGCGGAGCUCGGUGAAAUUGCAAUCCCGGUGCAAAUGCCGGGUAGACUACGGAAGGACGAAAAGACCCUAUGAAGCUUUACUAUAGGCUGACAUUGUAUUGUCGGUUUGCAUAUGCAGGAUAGGUGGGAGGCUUUGAAGCGGGGGCGCUAGCCCUCGUGGAGCCACCCUUGAGAUACCACCUCUGCGUUCUGGCAGUACUCACCUCGUCUCUGAAACAGAGCGGGGGACAGUGUUUGCUGGGUAGUUUAACUGGGGCGGUUGCCUCCUAAAAUGUAACGGAGGCGCGCAAUGGUCCACUAGCGCCGGAUGGAAAUCGGCGUCGUCGUGUAAUCGCACAAGUGGGCCUGACUGUGAGGCUUACAGGCCGAGCAGAGACGAAAGUCGGUGAUAGUGAUCCGGCACUUUGACACUAAUUUAUUGGUGUCGUUCCACGUGGGUGGGGUGUCGCUCAACGGAUAAAAGUUACUCUAGGGAUAACAGGCUGAUCGCUCCCAAGCGCCCACAGCGACGGAGCGGUUUGGCACCUCAAUCGGGGUGCUGCAGGAGUGAUCCUGUACCAAAAAUUCGGCUUAUAACGGUGGAACCGUCACGGGCAUUGUGAAAAUGCGUGCCCGCCGGUAAUACCGUGGGAAGUCCCUCGCACAUGCGGGGUGACCCCGUAACGACUGACCCGAAAGGGGAGAGUCCUUAUUACAUUAAGGGCUAACACGCCGAUUCCUGCUCCAUUAAAUCAGGUUUUGGUUGUAAAACUUACAACCUACGAUCGAUUGCAGGAAAAAGAUAUAGUCUGCACCAUAUGAAAGUAUGGAUGAAGUACGAUGUCGGCUCAUCGCAUCCUGGGGCUGAAGAAGGUCCCAAGGGUUUGGCUGUUCGCCAAUCAAAGCGGUACGCGAGCUGGGUUCAGAACGUCGUGAGACAGUUUGGCCUCUAUCCUCCGUGGUCAUUUAGAAACGUGAAGGAAGCUGCUCCUAGUACGAGAGGACCGGAGUGGACGAACCUCUGGUGUACCUGUUGUCGCGUCAGCGGCAAAGCAGGAUAGCUAUGUUCGGCAAGGAUAACCGCUGAAGGCAUCUAAGCGGGAAGCCCCUCCUGAGAUAGCGUUUCUCCAUAAGCCCGCCGGAAGACGACCGGUUAGAUCGGCCACAGGUGUACGCACGGUAACGUGUUGAGCUGAGUGGUACGAACGGGC
rnacentral:rRNA from 1 species